AGUGUUAUAAGUGCGAUUAAUUGCGAUUAAUUUUUUUGAGUUAAUCGUGUGAGUUAAUUGUGAUUAAUUGAUAGUCCUAAUGUCUGUCUGUCUCUGUCUGUCUCUAUAUAGAGAGAUAGAUACAAAUAUAAAACAGGAAUAAGGGAAUUAAGUGAUUUGUCCUUGAAUAAUUUUUUUAAAAUUAAAACCUGGAAAAACAAUCCUGAAGGGCAUUUUAUUGUUUCAACUUGUAUUUCUAAGUUAAAUGUUAGUUGUUUCCAAUUCAAAUAGAAUCCAACUUCAUGAAAUUAUGACAUUUCACAGAACACUCACGGAAACAUUUUCAGUUACAUAAAAUUCUGGAUCCUUGACCACUCUUAUUGAGCAGUGGACCCUAAGUGCUGACAUCUAUUGUCAAAGGCAUCUUCCAAAAAAAUGCAGCAAUUUCUGAAAGAGAAAUGAGAUUGUCUUUUUAAGUAAUAUAACAAUUGUGCAAUUUUCUGCUUUUUGGCCAUUUUUUUAUUUCCUGUGGGUUUUAAGUAGAGACCUCCAAUUUAAAACCUAUUAUUCUGUAGACAGCUUCUUCCCUUCCUCCCCUCAUGUGACCUUGCUCUAGUUUCUGCCCUGUUAUUUUCACACUUGUUCAUUUUGCUUAGCAUCAUAUUCUAUUUAAAAAUAUAUGUAUGGUACAUGUAUGACACUCUCUCAUAUAUUUACAUGUUAAAGAUGACAAAGUUUUACAUUCUCCUAUAUAUCAACACAUUGCUUCUCAGAAUAAUAAAUGUUUGCUCUUUAAUGAAGCAGAAAUUAUUAUUUCAACACGUGGCUGUGCUCGUUUUCCUCAGAAAAAAAUUGUCAGUGAUAAUUGACCCUCACAACCAGAGAGAGCAUUUUAUGGGGAAGAAGUUUCCCUCCACUCACAGGGAGAGAGCCCACAAAGGAAGUUUUAUCUGGGACUUUUAAUAUCAAUAUACAUAUUCCAGUUGUGUCUUGUAAAGCACCACAAAGUUGCUAAUAUGGGUGCAAGGACUGCAUAUCAGGGUAUGUCUACAUUGUAGUCAUCAGGUGUGAUUGCAGCUUGUGUAGACCUAUCCGAGCUAGCUUCAGUUUAGCUAGUUCAAGUACCAGAGCAAUGAAACAUUGGCAGCAUGAGCUUCAACUUGGAUAGCUACUUGGACAGCUUCAUAGCUUCGAUACCCAAGCUAGCUAGAUUAAAGCCACCACAGACAUAUCUCCAGUCACAGACCCUGAUUUCAGUGUAGACAAUACCCUCAGACUCGGAGAUCAGUAAAACAUUUGUGAAGGGGAUGCUCGGAUCCCACAGUGAUGGUUGUUGGAUUAGUAUGCAGAGAACUAAAGGAUUUUUCCAAAUCUAUCAUUUUGUGUAUGGGCAGGGAGUGUAUUGGCCCCUGGUUAUUACUCUUUCAUGAAGAGUACUGCCCCAACCAGUGUAUUAUCCAGGGGGAAAAAAACACUUUAGGCUGGGAAGUUGGGUUAGAUAAAAUUUUUUUUCAAGAUUAACACCUAGCAUCACUUUUCUUGAAGUAUUGUGCUUAGUACUGACUACCACUGGUGGACUCCAUGGUUGAAAAUAAUUUAAAUUUAUCAGGGUUACAGAAUCAGGCCCUAGCUUAAUAUUCCUUUUUGCACAAUGCAUGUCGACUGCAGAUUGGGACUGUGAUAAUUUGAUGUCUCACCAGGACAUCGCUGUUCAUGUUCCCAACAGGAAUGAUGAGAUUGCCAAGAAAAGUGACAAACUAAUCAGCACUAUUCUUUUGCCUUAGAAGUAACCAGAUCGCUUCUCAGCAGUAUAUUUAAAAUGCAAUCUGUUGCUAUAGUCAAUAGUUGAUAAUGUUUACCUUUCUUUUAUUAUGAGUUUGCUUGUGAUUUGCAAUGAGGUAUACAAGAAAGGGACUUAAAAUUAGCAAGAACAGUCUAUGGGGCUGUGCCAUUAACAGAGAAUGGGUGGGACCAUGUAUAAAGCUGGUUAGUUAAGAGCUGCUAAAGUCUGUGGGUCAGAUCGUUUUUAACGUUAAUCACCUGUGGGUAUGACUUGGUGGUGUGGGUGGUGUGGUAUAAUGUGAUUUGUUAGAGUGUGAGCGUUUUAUAACCGUCAUUUGCGAGUAAAUUACUUAGCAGUAUUCUGCUUUAUGACUGGCUGAAGAAACUUAGUUGAUAGUAUAAUAUAAUUUAUUUCCAUGCAUAAGUGAGUGACCUUCAUAUCUUACUCUGUCUCUUGUGAAUUAUUAUGGGUCAUUCCCUCACUAGUGGAAAUGAAUUGUGCUUUACCACUGCCCAGUGUUUUGUGCACUUUCUCCCACUAAUUACAUAUUUACAGCAUAGCUAAGCCAUAAGACUGAUUCUGAUUUGCUGAUGAAGAUUACAUGCCAUGUGAUUUAUUUAUGCAUGUGCACAGCUCUGAGAAUGUUUGUGUUCGAAACAGAUGAACCUUACUUUGUCUAUUUUCUUUUGUCUGGUGGCAAUAGAACCACAGAUCGAAUCCUAGAACUGGGAAAGAAGUAUUGGUCCAUUGUGUCAUUUCCCUGCCAUGUAGGAUUUUUCCAUACAGGACUUUUUCUAGUGUUUUUUUCUGGACUAGUUUUCAAUGUGUUAACUGAUGAAGCUUCUGCCACUUCCCUUGGAGACUCUUGCACAAUUUAACAGUUCUCAUAGCUGGGAAGAUUUUUCUGAUACUCCACUAGAAUUUUCCCCUUUACUUCUGGGGAGACACGUUGGUACCAUCCUAAAUAAUCCCUCUCCCUUCUUGUUAGUUAGGAGCUUUAAAUGUUUACAGCCUGUCACUUCAUUCUUUGGUCAUAUCUUAUCCCUGGUACAUGUGCAGAGAUACUAGAUUAUAUAUGCAGCUGUUGGCACUGCCUGUUAUCAAGAUUGCCUGACACUUCCCAUUGUAAGACCCUAUUUUUCAGUUUCUUAUAAUGUUCCAAUCUUUAACGCUUUGGUCUGAAAUUUUCCAUGCUGGGUUUCUGCUUUAGGCUUAACUUCUUUGGAAAAUUUCAGCUUUCUGUUCUUUCACCAGUUAAAUACCCCACAAAUUCCACACUGGGUGUGCACAUGGCAGGACUUUCCCUGCAAUUGCAGCUCUGGACUGCUAUGAGCUGUUCUGGGUCUGUUCACCUGAACUGAGAGCAAGGAGACUCUCUUCUGUACUUUGAAUGACCCUCCUCCCCACCACUCCCUGAGGCAAUGUGGAGGAGGAAGCUGCUUGCUUCAGAGGUAGAGGGGACAGGAGCUGGACGUGCCAUGGGUGUGGGCUGGGUGAGUAGAUUGGGACAAGGAGACUGGAGGUGGAGAGGGAGGCAGGGAGGAGGGAACUGGGACUUAAGGCUGGUUGGGGGAGAAGGAAACAAGGACUGGGAGCUGGCAGAGGGAAUCUGUGACUGACUAGUCAAGGAGGCCGGGGAAAGAAAUGGCAGGGAGGCACUGGGAGACAGUUACUGGGAGUGGGAGACAGAUCAGAUGAGGAGCCAGGGGAGACUGAGAACCAGUAUGACGGGGGGAAAGAAGGAAGGGAGACAGAUCUGAUGAAAAAGCCAAGGAGGCUGGUGGUGGGAAGAGCUGUGACUGGCUGAGAAAAGACCACUGGGUAUCUGGGACAAAGCUGGGGAGAGUGGCCAGGAACACUGAGAAUGGACAAGGAUCCUGGAGAGGGAAAUUGGGACUGGGAGCUAGUGUGGACAAAGAACAUGGGCAUAGGUGGUGGGAGAUAACUGGAUGCCAGGAUGGGGUACAGAGACAUCAGAUGAUGAGCUGUGGGGGGUGGGGAGGGGACUAGGACUGACUGGGUGAGAAGACUGUGAUGGGGAGUAUGGAGACUAGGACUGGGAUGAAAAGCCUGAGGAGUAGAGAAUAGGAAUAGAACAAAGAUGGGUGGGAAAAAGGACUCAGACAGGUUGUGGGGAGUAGGGCAGAAGUGUCUAUGCCUAUUUGGUACCCUCCUCUCCAGUUUUCCUGGGUCUCACCAUUCCUCUUCUGUCAGCAGAUAUCUGGGAAACCCACUGGCAAAAUGUCCCAUCUGCCUCUAAUGCUUGUCAUCCUCUGUGUGGACCAUCCACUAGUGCUACCAUGCACUCUGUGUCCCUGUGUAGUGGAUCUAAAGAUUCCAGCUCAGCUGAUGACCCAAAAAAAAGAAGUUUUCAAAUCCAUCUCAGAAAGAAUGUCAAUGGUGUAGAACAGCACCACACUGAGAAAUAAACUGCAAGAGGUCAAAAGCUAAGAGAAAGGAGAGUUUGCUACCAUACAGUCUCUCAUUCUGACAUUCAAAGAAGCAGGUAAUUCUAUCUCAAUGACAAUGGUAACUGAAAGGUAGAUUAUUCCUAACAUUCUUGCCUUCUUCCUUUUCCUCUCCUCUAAUACUUUGGUUUAUUUUCGGUUAUUGGGUUUAAUAUGCAGGUGGCUAGAUGAUGAUGGUGGCCUGUGACAGACUAGAUGAUCUGAUAGUCCAUUCUGGUCUUAAACUCUGAUUCACCCGUGUAGACACUCGAUUUUGACCUUGGAGGUGUCACUUGACAGGAGUUACCUCUUACCCCCUGUACACAUAGAAUUUGGUUCCAAAAGGUCAGGAACAAAGGAGUGGAUCCUGUGGCAUAGAUGAAGUGCGUGUGCAUAGGAGACCAGAGUCUCUUCCAAAUCAUGUAAAAACUGAAAGUUCAAAAUAUGGCCUCUGUAUCCAUGGAAAUUUACCAUCCUAAACACUCUGACAUUGACUCUUUUAGCAUCAGUAACUGUGAACCACCAAUAAUUAAUUUGCUUAUAUCUAAUUUGCCAUGGACAGGGGAAGGUCCUCUCUUGUGGAUAGUUAACUAGGCUGUUUAGAAAGAUGUUAACCUUUUCAACCACUAACUGAAUAUUAUGGUGGGAAAUGCUGCUUCCAUAGACAUUUCCUGACCGUUAGUUUACAAUAGCCUGUCACUUUGAUCCUGCUUUGUCUCUCAUCAUGUGUAUCAGGGUUUCUGUCAAAGGAACACCCUGUAAAAUUUGGAGAUAUUUACAGCUCUAAAACAGUGCUAAUUCCCUCUCCUCACCAAUGUCAUUCCUAUAUAAGUCUAGAAAAUAUUUGACAGAUGAUUCCUGAAUGUACAUUAAAUCUGAACUUGUCACGAGGAUAUUUGCCUUUAAAACAAAAAUGGUGCUGCCAAUCAAGUUGUCUAGUGUAGUUUGACUGAAUUAGAAUGAUAGUAGUGUGUGUGUGUGUGAUGCUGUAUCAUUAAAGAUGAGCAUUUGUAUAAUUGUUGCUACCACUGUUAUACAAUUACAGCAAAUCUUGUACAAAGUAUGCCAUGUAAGGUAUUAAUGGAAAAGUUAAGAUUUGCUAAGUAUAAUUGUCUUGUUUAUGUGCAUGUAUCAUAUUUAUGAAUAUUGGUUAUGUACUUGUAUCUUAAACAUGUGUUGUAUUCCUGGGUCACUCCCCUCCUCCCUGAUAGAAUUUACAUUAGGGCUAGACAGCUAUGUGUUAGUAGCAUAACAAGAAUGCUCCAUUUUCACAUUGGCCAUUGAAGAAACUCAUCCCAUCCAGAUAGCUCGUCCUGUGGAUGCCUCAGAUAGUGAAGAGCCAAUGGUCACCCCCUGAGAUUCAGAAAACCGCAUUGGGGUAUGUGAUAUGAUUAUGUGACUCUGGACUCCAACUUGGGCCAGUAACUUUCCAUGUACCGGGACCAUGGGCUUUAUUUGGGACAGUAAAUUUCCAUGCACAUGGCAGAGGAUAUAAAAAAAGACACCCAAGACGUCUCCAGGGUGCCUCUUUCCUCCUCUAAUUCUCUGGACUGUGGAUUUACAACUAAAAAGAGCAUCUUGAAUUUUGGACUGAGGAUCUUCCGAUCUUUCGGAAGUUACCUGAAGACUUUACAAGCCAGCAGUCUAUUCCAUCAUUGCUAUAAACCUGAUAUAAGAACUUUGCAAUCAUUUGUAUGUAUAUGAUCUAUUAACCAUUUAUAACUCAUUUUAUUUUAUUAAUAAAUCUUUACUAAGGAUUGG